UGAUAACUACAGGCAUAAUGAAAUUUACACCCGCCAUUUUGCUGUUAGGGCUUAGUCUCUGCAGUGCAUAUGUUCCAGCAGAUGCAGACUUUCAGCCAAAUCGAUCAUGCCUUGAGAAAGCAUUGCAGACCGUGCCAGAACUCCUCCAAAGUCUGACAAAACUCCUUUGCAAGUAUCAACAUGCAA